GGAGAGGCCACUGAUCAGCCGCUCUAAGGAUGAGCUCCUGAAAAAUUAUAAAAGAUUAAGCCAAAAAGUGAGACAGAGAGUGAGAUAAUGACAGAAAACAAGUAAAAACAGCAGAGGAACAACUUGGAUUUGGGUAAAGACUGAUUUUUGUUUUCUAGAAAAUACAUUUUAAUAAAAGAAAGAAGACUGGAAGCUGUGGAUUAGCAUCUGGCUGCUGGAUCUCCACUAUAACAGCUAACUGCAGCUUUUUUUUUAAAGGAACUACAGCUGAAAAACUUCACACAGUUGUUGAUCUUCACUUGCUAAACAGAGAGGUGAGCACUUUCUGGCAAAAAAACCUUCACAAAAACUGUAUAUUUUGAUCAUAUUCUAGUAAAAACUCUCAUUAUCACAAGCUAAAAGCUAAGUUAAGUUAGCUGCAGUUUUGACUCAGUGCCCAGUCUGAUCAGUCUGAUCGCCAUGGCGACCCUGGCCCAGGCAGAGUGCAGGGAGGUGUCUUACCCAGAGAAGUGCAGAAGUGUGCAGGCCAGAAAAAAACACAAAGAGAAAACUCUCAGAGACAAUCCUGAUCUUCUGUACGCUGACUACAUUCAACUCAAUGGGAAAAGAAUCAAGAACAACCUCAUCUUCUACACCCCUCUGAUUACUGCAUGGAAAUCAGCCAUCUGUGAGGAAUACAAGCACAUUUUUAAAGAAGGAAUCGGUCGAGGUGGAAGAUUAACUAUAUGCAAAGAUGAAAUGCUGGACACAGACAACCCCAUUCUCACCAUAACCUACUACACUAAAGGCACCUUCCUUCUUCAAGGCAAUGAAGCAAGCCUGAACUCAUUCGAGGAGAUUUUCCCCCUGCUAAAGACCAGAGUCGAGGAGGAGAGAGACGAGCCUCAAGCAAACUGCACAGACUCUGAGGAGGAAGACCCAGUCAAUCUUUCACCUUCACCAUAUGACCGUCGACUGAGAAACCGUUUAGCUUUGCUGGAACUGGACUAAAUUCAGAGAACACACUCAACUCAAACUCUCUGACACACACAACACAAACAUUUACAUCCAAGAGCUCAAAGAUGAACUCAGGCAGCUGAAGAAAGACACCAACUCCUCCAUCACUGAACUCUCGAGAGCUCUCAGAGAAGUGCAAGAAGAAAACCAAAGCUCCUCCUACAGACUACACAAACACAGACAGUGAGCCUGCCACAAACACACAGACACCCACAGAAACACACACAUCACCUGCCCACCCUCCAGAACCUGAUCUAGAUGUUCUUCUCCUCAUGGACUCUAAUGGACCCACAGAAACUCUUCCCACAUCAAAAAGUCAGUGCAAAACGAUGCAGCACAACAGGCCAGGCCCAGAAGAUCAUCAGAGACUUCACAGGACACCCCUCAUGUGUUAUAAUCCACACCGGGACUAAUGACCUCCACUCGGCUGCGCAACAAUACUGUCAGGAAAAUGGCAGAAAUCCCCAGCAAAAAAUUCCCAGAGUCCCAAAUCAUCAUCUCCACACUUCUUCCACGACGUGACACACCACCACACAUCAUCUACAGCAUCAGUGCUGAAAUUUUUCAUAGAUGUUCUGCACUCCCAAAUCUGCACCUGGUCCACCACCACCACAUCAGCCUCCAACACCCGUAUGAUGGACUCCAUCUACACAAAGACGCAGUGCGUGUUUUUGCAAAAACCCUAAAGGAUGCAGCCCUCUGACACCUAUUACCUGACUCCAGAACACUACCGGCCCAUCCACCCCUACAUGCCCAGACACUCCCCUCCGACCCCGGUUUACCGUAGUCAGCUGGAUCCGGCCCGUAUCCAGAUGAGAUGGAGGACCUGCGCCUUGACAUGACCACAACGCAGCCCUGAAGUGUCAGCAGAGAUUGAGUCAACUAGAUCAUCCCCUGUGAAGGCCUCAUCGACAGCCAGUGGCACAGUUCCUCAACAGACUGUCCAUACCAGCGUGAUGAAUACGAUCCUCAACUGGAUGGAACUGGAAUAAAUACUUUGACUGUUGCAAUCCGAUCGGACUCAUUAUGAUUCAGGCAGCUAUCAUAAAGCACUGUUUGCUGUUGGCCAGAGGAGAACUGGCCCCCCGACUGAGCCUGGUUUCUCCCAAGGUUUUUUUUUUCUUCUCCAUUUUAACACCUGUUUGCCACCUGAUGUCACCUGUUGGAGUUUGGGUUCCUUGCCGCUGUCGCCUUUGGCUUGCUUAGUUGGGGACACUUGAUAUUCAACAGUGUUUUGAUCUCCUGCAUUGACACCAUUGUAUGAGAACUGAACUGAGCUGGAUGAUGACAUCACUGUUCACUCCAGUGCUGAUAUAGAUAAAUUAACUAAAUUAAUAACUAUUGAUUCUUACAUCGGAAUGAAUCAAUACUGAAUUUACUUAAGAUGGAUAAUGACACCAUUUUCUUUAAGAGCUGCUGUGCAGCCAAAAUUAUAUACCGGUUAUCACUGUAAAGCUGCUUUGACACAAUCUGCAUUGUUAAAAGCGCUAUAUAAAUAAAGGUGACUUGACUUGA